rnacentral:rRNA from 1 species
GAUGAACGCUGGCGGCGUGCCUAAUACAUGCAAGUCGAGCGAACGGACGAGAAGCUUGCUUCUCUGAUGUUAGCGGCGGACGGGUGAGUAACACGUGGAUAACCUACCUAUAAGACUGGGAUAACUUCGGGAAACCGUAGCUAAUACCGGAUAAUAUUUUGAACCGCAUGGUUCAAAAGUGAAAGACGGUCUUGCUGUCACUUAUAGAUGGAUCCGUGCUGCAUUAGCUAGUUGGUAAGGUAACGGCUUACCAAGGCAACGAUGCAUAGCCGACCUGAGAGGGUGAUCGGCCACACUGGAACUGAGACACGGUCCAGACUCCUACGGGAGGCAGCAGUAGGGAAUCUUCCGCAAUGGGCGCAAGCCUGACGGAGCAACGCCGCGUGAGUGAUGAAGGUCUUCGGAUCGUAAAACUCUGUUAUUAGGGAAGAACAUAUGUGUAAGUAACUGUGCACGUCUUGACGGUACCUAAUCAGAAAGCCACGGCUAACUACGUG